UUAAACAUAGAAUUGUCUUGUGCCUGAGCAAUACCACUCAUAGGUUUACAUGCAAGAAAAAUGAAAACCUACAUCCCCAUGAAAACUUGUACGGGAACAUUCCGAGCGGCAUUUCACACCAUCGCCCCUGAUGUGGAAACACCCAAAAGCCCUGUCGGCUGAUCGGCGGUGAAUCACGACCCGGCCACGUAACGGAAUGUUACUCGGUGGUGACAGGGAGCCGGGUACGGACACCUGAUACUCCGUGGAUGAACCCAGAACACACAGGGAGUGAAAACAGCUGGACACAAAAGGCCACACAGGGUACAAUUCCAUUUAUACGGGACAUCGAGAGGGACCAACGCAGAGACAGAAAGUAGGUCAGGAAGUUUCGUGGUUGCCUACAGCUGGAAGGUGGCUGCGGGCAAUGGGGACCGGUUGGUGAUGGGUGUGGGGUUUCUGUUUGGGGCGAUGAGGAAACAUUUGGAAAUUUAGUAGUGGUGACGGCUGCACAACCCUGUGAAUUUACACUGGAAAGUAUUCACUAGUGCAGUCUGAGUGGGUGAAUCGUAUGGUAGGUGUUACCGUCGGCGUAAAGCAGUUGCCAAAAAAAUCGGUAAUGGUAUCUUUUUUUAAAAAUGUAAUUUCUAGCUCUUUGUAUUUGGUGUAACGUAGGAGCCAGCAAACCGUGGCAUACAGGCGAAGCCUGGCCUGCUGCCUGUUUUUGUAAAUAAAGUUUUAUUGGAACACAGCCGCGCCGAUUCAUGUCCGUGAAUCUGCGGCUGUUUUCCUGCUACAGUGUGACGGAGCGGUAAGUUACCGUAGACACUGGAUGGCCUGCAGGGAUGAAAAUAUCAGAAAAGUUGCAGAAAAUGUUUGCCAACUCCCGUUGUAGGGGAACACGAUUGCGUCUGUGUGCCGCUCUUGUAUCCGCAGUCUUGCUGACUGACUUUUUUGGGGGUUUCUGUGCAGUUAGUUUUCCUUCUUUCUAGUCCUUGUAACUUAUUUAUUGUUCUCGCUCUCACUGGGCCGGCCACGACCUCUGUGCAGUGUGGAAAGGCAGUGAUUCGGGUCUUCGUCUGCCUCUGGUCUUAGCAAGCCUCGGGUUGCUUUGCUGUGGACUGUGGCUGGAUCCGCUGUGACAGAGGAAGCUGCCUACCUUCCUAGUUUAUGAGAGCUGGUUUUUAUUUGGCAAGUCAUAAAAGGGGGCUCGCUCGUGGCCCUUCGUCUCUGAGCCUCUCUCCUCUCCUAGGCAUGGUUCCCGGGGCGGGGGCGGCACCGGACCUUCCUUCUGUCCCCAGGCUGCACUCCGCAACAGCUACAUAAUUGAAUCUGCUACCAGAGGUCACUUUCUCCAGUCACCCGGCAUAGGCUACAAGAGCCAACUGCCCAGACUCCUGGACAGAGGGCCACCCACACUCCUGACUCCUCUGUCUGUCUGACCUCAGGUCCCAGAGAGGUGGUCAGAGCUGGAUGGCUUCUCAGGUCCACCUGACUGGACGUGUUGCUUUACAGAAGGGAGAACGCUGGCCCUACGAGGCUGACCAACUUGUCCAAGGUCACACUGCACAUGGCCCAGUUGAGACCUUUCUUCCGUGGUAAGAAAUGCAGCACAGCCCACGGUCUGGUCACAGAGUUCAGGGAGAGCCCUUCCUGUCUCAGUUCUGUCUGAGGGGCCACAGGCACAAGAGGGUCUGCCUUAGGGCCUGACUGCCCCAAAGUCAUGUCCAGGAGGAAAGGGCAGGAGACGACUCUGCCAGUUGUCCAGGCCUUGACCAGCAGCAGGGCACCCAAUUCAAUUUGCUUAUCUCCCUUCCUGCCUCCCUCUUCCCUGUGCUUUUCAAUUACAGGCAGAGUCAGUAUCUUUUCUAGUGAGUACAAAGAUGUCAAAGGGUCUGAGUGAGCCAGAGAAGAAGGAUGUCCUUGGUGGCCCUCCACACUGACCAGUACAAGUCUUGGAGCAGAAGGAUGAACUAGUCCGGGUCGUCAUGCCUCGCCCUGCCUCCAGCCAGCUGCACAGGAGCAGUCAUGGGUGAGAACACACAUUCUUUGAGCCAGUAAGUCCACCACGGAAGAAUAUAUGUUUUUUCACAGAUACACGUGCAUGUACAAAGAUUCAUUACAGCACUGUUCAGAAUAGUAAGAGACUAGAAACAACCUAAAUGUCUAUCGGAGAGGGAUGGUUAAAACGUUAUUCUUUAGCCAUGUAAUAGAAUACCAUGCAGCUGUUAGAAUGAAGGCAUUCUUUCUGUCAGGUGGUGAAUAACUGCCAGGAUAUACUGGUAAGGAAGAAGGCAAGGGAUUGAGAAGGGGAGGAGGUAUAAGAGGUAUUUAAUGCUUCUCCUGCAUGUGUGUAUUUUUCAGGAGGGUAUUUAUGAAACUGCUAACACUGGUUUCCUCUGGGAAAGAGAGUUAUUUUUCAUUUUAAAUUCUUGCUCUUUCUGAAUUGGGUGCCAUGGACAAUCUAUUCAGUGAAGUACUUAAUAUAACAAAAGAGAACAUGUUCUCCCUGGAGGUCCUAUAAAGGAGUGACGGGGACUAGGCAUUAAAAAACAUGAUUCCUUGAAACCAAAGCCCUCCCCCCCCCCAACAAUUAUCUGUCAUUAUUCGGUUUUUGAUAAAGCAAGUUAUUUCUCUAUACUCCUAUCUCCAAAAGAACACCAGCAGAAGACCCUCAAUUUUGAGGAUGUCGAUAUAAUAACUUCUCUUCCUACAAGUAACCCCAAAACAGCAUUAAGUAAAAUGCAAGUUCCAUUUCUGGCAAAAGUAGGUGAUAGCUAACCCCCUAAACAACAGGUGGAUAGGCUCCCCAAAGCAACAGAGAUCAAGUGGGGCUGAGGGAGGAAGCAGAAGAGAGAGGGUGCCAUGGCUGUAGAUUUCAGAAACAGCCAGUAGUGUAUCCUUCCCAACUGUGACAGAUACACCCUGUACAAAUCUUAACAAAAUCUAAACCCCUUCUUUGCCGCAGUGGAACCAGGGAUGCAUCAGCUGGUUAUAGACCUUCCCUAGACCCACUUGGUUCUGAAGAGCAAAGAAGGUAGGGCUACAUAAGAAAUCCCACAAAUAAGCCAUACUUGCAGGAACCUGUUUGUGAGGCAACUGGACGGAAAUAGCCUCCUCCAGUGGCAAGUAAUCAAAAUUGAACCACCACAGUACUUAAUCGAAAGGAAAAUGAGAAGGAAAAGCAAAGCCUAAGUAAAAGCUGGCAAAAAACAAAACAAACCACUACUUCCUAUCAGAAAAAUGUAGCCACAGAAAAGAUGAAGAUUAUAGUUAAAUAUUUCAUCGUGAAGGAGAGAACUUAGUAAACAAUGGUUUCCAUAAAGCAAAACCACAAAGAAGAUAUACAAGAGUAGAAGAAGAAACUUACUGUAAAAGCAAAAGGGGGAAAUGGCGUGCAUAAGGAAAACAAGGCACACACACAAAAAGUAAAACGAAAGGCAAAAGACAGCCAAUCUGUGCUUAACUAGAGCCCCCAAAGAAGGAAACUGAAAUAAUACAAGCCUUGGAUCUGCCUGUCAAAAGGGCACGGGUACUGCGUUCUGGGAAAAAGAUACUCUGAACAGUCAACCCCAAGACAUAUGCUAGUAAAGUAAUAACAUGAAAGAUAUGGAAAGAUCAAAGUAAAAUAUGAAGAAAGAAGAAUCAGGCUUCAACUUCUCCAUGGCAACAUUCAACAUUAGAGGAGAAUAGAAUAUGGUCUGCAAAGACCCUCAAGGAAACAAAGUGACCCAGGGAUUAUUUCUCAUUCACUCAAGCAGAUAGUCGACAGACCUUUCUGAACUUGGGAACUCUCGAAGUGCUGUUCACGUGAGGCCUUAAGCCAUAUACACGUGGACCAACUUUGGAUGAUGGGAAACUGAGGCACAGGAACUGGUGGUGAGCACUGGCCCUAUUUCUCUCGGAGACAGACUGAAAACAACUGGGCGUAGUGAUGUAACCACCAUUACGAGCCCUGGGAUAGAGUAAUGGUACCGCUAAUAACAAAGUGGGGAGGGAAAGGAGGGAUGGCAGUAGAAGCGCAGAUAUCCCCAUAUUUAAUAAUUGGGAAUAGAAGAUAUCCUUUCUUUUUUUAAUGUUUAGUUUUGAGAGAGCAUGAGCAGGGUAGGGGCAGAGAGAGGGAGACCUAGAAUCUGAAGCAGGCU